CAAGGUGCGACUCACAGGAGAAGUGCUCGGUCCUUACACAUGAUACACAUGAUAAUGUGUAAAUAAAAACUUUAAAUGCCUAGGAAAUAUUCGUUUCAUAUCAGGCGAACGCUGGAUUAUCUCCAGUGCUACGAAUCGAUCAUCAUGUUACAGUAAAUUACAACACACAUAGACAGCUCAGCGACGGAGCAAGUACAAAGAUCCUUGGUUUUAAAUUGAUGUUCAAGAAUGACACCAUCGCCAUUCCUCAAGUUCUACCUAGCGAGGUCCUGCAAGCAGAGGCUCUAGCCAGGAUAGAGGCUGCUAACCCAGGCAACGUUGGGCCUGAGAAGUACUGUCUGAAAGAGUAUUUGAGGUGGAGGUCCCCUGCCCCAGCACCACCUGAGGAGAUGACAGGGAAAUACCGCGCCCAGGACUAAGACUGGACAGCAGGGGGGGGUGAAGGAAUCAUGGACUGAACUGUUUUUUAGUAGUAUAUCAUGUUUCACUGGAAAUAUUGUGGAUGUUUUUCUGUACAAUAAAGGAAACCAGACAGGA